rnacentral:lncRNA from 12 species
UCCUAGUGCUGCUAGUUGUCUGUCAGUAGGGCAGUGGUUUGAUGUGUUAGAACAGUGCAAUUUUACACAAAGUUAGUGCAAGAGGUCAAAGGAUUAGACAUUGAACAAAAGCUAAAAAAAUUUAAAAAAAAAACUUGAAGGCUUAAACAUUUAAACUGUGUGAAGUUUAAUUCCAGCUGGGCAAUUACAGCAGGUAGAGGCCUGGCAGCCUGAGCCAACUUCGCAGGGCAGCCUUUGUGGCAGAACUGUUUCUGGUGUCUCCACAGCAACUGAACAUACCCUGAGCUCUAUGAUGGGAGUGAUGAGCAAUGUAUUGGAGAAUUUCUCAAGGGCUCUGGGGCUCCAUGCCAGCUGCCUGCCAGCAAGUCAAAGGAAGCUUUGGGAGCAAUUUGUCUGAGCUGGGAACCUUCUUCAAGGCAUGGAAAGUCAAGGUGAGAAGGAAGGAACCAAAAAUUUUGCACAGAACAUUUUGCAAAGAAAGAAACACUUCACAGCAGAUAGGAACAAUUUGUGCAGUUGUAUUCCCAGACACUCACCAACCUGCCAAAAGAUGGGAAGACACAGAGAAAUGAGAGCAAAAAUAGUUUGCAGGAGAAAGGAAGAGAGAGCAAGACAACUGAAAGUAAGCAAGAGAGAGGAAACAAGGGAAGAGCAGAAGGAACAUUAUAAUGGUCAACACCAA